AACGCGAAGAACCUUACCUACUCUUGACAUCCAGAGAAUCCUGUAGAGAUACGGGAGUGCCGAAAGGAAUUCUGAGACAGGUGCUGCAUGGCUGUCGUCAGCUCGUGUUGUGAGAUGUUUGGUUAAGUCCCGUAACGAGCGCAACCCUUAUCCUUAGUUACCAUCAUUUAGUUGGGGACUCUAAGGAGACUGCCGGUGAUGAACCGGAGGAAGGCGGGGACGACGUCAAGUCAUCAUGGCCUUUAUGAGUAGGGCUACACACGUGCUACAAUGGGCAGUACAGAGGGUAGCGAAGCCGCGAGGUGAAGCCAAUCCCGAAAAGCUGUUCGUAGUCCGGAUCGGAGUCUGCAACUCGACUCCGUGAAGUCGGAAUCGCUAGUAAUCGCGAAUCAGAAUGUCGCGGUGAAUACGUUCCCGGGCCUUGUACACACCGGCUAC
rnacentral:rRNA from 1 species